UGCAGAGGGUGCGAGCGUUAAUCGGAAUUACUGGGCGUAAAGCGCGCGUAGGCGGCUUUGCAAGUCGGGUGUGAAAUCCCCAGGCUUAACCUGGGAACUGCAUUCGAGACUGCAUUGCUAGAGUAUGGGAGAGGGAAGUGGAAUUUCCGGUGUAGCGGUGAAAUGCGUAGAGAUCCGGAAGAACACCGGGUGGCGAAGGCGGCCUGCUGGGCAGUAGCUGACGCUGAUGCGCGACGAGCGUGGGGAGCAAACAGG
rnacentral:rRNA from 1 species